rnacentral:rRNA from 1 species
GGUUGCGAUCAUACUAGCACUAAUGCACCGGAUCCCAUCAGUGUGCUUGGGCGAGAGUAGUACUAGGAUGGGUGACCCCCUGGGAAGUCCUCGUGUUGCAACCC